AUUGAACGCUGGCGGCAGGCCUAACACAUGCAAGUCGAGCGAAGCGGCGGAUGGGUGAGGAACGCGGGGGUAACCUGCCCUUCAGUCUGGGAUACCAUGUGGAAACAGAGGCUAAUACCGGAUACCAACGGAUGGACGUGCGAUGCAUUAGCUAGUUGGUAAGGUAACGGCUUACCAAGGCGAUGAUGCAUAGCCGAUUUGAGUGACUGAUCGGCCACCUUGGGACUGAGACACGGCCCAGACUCCUACGGGAGGCAGCAGUAGGGACUCUUCCACAAUGGACGAAAGUCUGAUGGAGCAACGCCGCGUGAGUGACGAAGGUUUUCGGAUCGUAAAGCUCUGUUGUUGGUGAAGCGGUAAUCAACCAGAAAGUCACGGCUACCUACGUGCCAGCAGCCGCGGUAAUAC
rnacentral:rRNA from 1 species